CUCGCAUUGCUAGACCUUCGUCCACAGCACUGCGAAGAAGGGUCUGGAUAAUCCACACAGCAUUUCGGGAUGGGAGAAAGACAUACUCUGGUCUAUUGGCAUUUCUUUAAACCAAUCACAAUGGUCUUGGGCGGCGCUAAUCUCGGUACGGAGACGCC